rnacentral:rRNA from 1 species
CAGGACGAACGCUGGCGGCGUGCCUAAUACAUGCAAGUCGAACGGUCUUUCUAUGGAAGCUUGCUUCCACUGAGAAGAUAGUGGCGAACGGGUGAGUAACACGUGGGUAACCUGCCCAUAAGAGGGGGAUAACAUCCGGAAACGGGUGCUAAUACCGCAUAGUUUUCUUGAUCGCAUGAUCGGGAAAGGAAGGACGGCCUUUGUGCUGUCGCUUAUGGAUGGACCCGCGGCGUAUUAGUUAGUUGGUGAGGUAACGGCUCACCAAGACGAUGAUACGUAGCCGACCUGAGAGGGUGAUCGGCCACAUUGGGACUGAGACACGGCCCAAACUCCUACGGGAGGCAGCAGUAGGGAAUCUUCCGCAAUGGACGAAAGUCUGACGGAGCAACGCCGCGUGAGUGAAGAAAAGGUUUUCGGAUCGUAAAACUCUGUUGUCAGAGAAGAACAAGUUGGAGAGUAACUGCUCCAGCCUUGACGGUAUCUGACCAGAAAGCCACGGCUAACUACGUGCCAGCCGCAGC